CAGCGUUGUGAGAUACUGUGUGUCAAACCUGACUCGCCAGUUGUGCCAGAUUGGUCUUACAGGGCUGGUGGAGUCAUGGAAUGCUCACCGAAUUCCAGGUAAAGGUGUACCAAAUGACUUGGCUGGCUGUGGAUGUCCCAAAAAAAUCCCACAGGAGCUGCUGCCUCAUUCAGUUGAUGCAGCAGACCUUUACAGCCAACAGCUGGGAUCCUCACUGGCCACACAUUCAACUUUUGGAGUUGAUCCAUUUUCAACUGAACAAGGACAAACUUAGAGUUGAGAAUCAGUUUGCUGAGCAAUAUUCAGACAUUUCAGACUUGUUCUCUAGAGCAGUGAACAAUGACUUGGCUCCGUACAAACAGGCAUUGCUCUGUCUUAUAACCACAACUCAGCGCAAUGUGUGAAAAGCAGAUUGCUCUAUUUGAACAGAAUGUAAAUUUGUAACAAGAACAAUGAACACCAAUCACAUCAACCAGCCUAAACAUGUAAAUAAAUUAACAUUACAACUCAAUUUUUGAAUCAAUAAAACAAAGUCAAAU